UACGUAGGUGGCAAGCGUUAUCCGGAAUUAUUGGGCGUAAAGAGCGCGCAGGUGGUUGAUUAAGUCUGAUGUGAAAGCCCACGGCUUAACCGUGGAGGGUCAUUGGAAACUGGUCGACUUGAGUGCAGAAGAGGGAAGUGGAAUUCCAUGUGUAGCGGUGAAAUGCGUAGAGAUAUGGAGGAACACCAGUGGCGAAGGCGGCUUCCUGGUCUGUAACUGACACUGAGGCGCGAAAGCGUGGAGAGCAAACAGGAUUAGA
rnacentral:rRNA from 1 species